AAAACCUGGCAUAGCGGCCAGCCUGGUGGGGUGGUGGCAAGGCAGGAGGGCCAGCUGGCUGCUGAGCUGAAUAGGACUGAUGACUCUGUUUCCCUGGUUGUCCUGUUUGAUGUUAAUCACCAGGCUGAGCAAGCUCUUCAACCAGACACAGCUGGCCCCCAGGGAAAUACGACAAGAGGCCAGGGAGGGUCUAGGUUAUUUGGAGUUAAAGACCUGCAGGACGGGGCAGAGUCAGGGGCAGGGAGUUUGAAGGAGGGGGUCAGAGGGUACAGAGAUGGAAAAAGAUGGUGAUGGAGGUCUCUAGUGAUGGCAGAUGGCAGAUGAAAGGGGAAGCUUGGGGACCAGCUGACCUCCAAGGUUCCUUUCAGCUGGAAAAACUGGUUCCAAGGGACACAGGAGUGAAGAGAUGAACUAACUGCCAGACAGGACCUUCAACAAACCGAAAGAGAGCCUCCCAGUCUCAGAGCUGUGGUCCAGCCACUGGGACACUUGCUGAGAUCCCAUCUAAGAUUUAGGGUCAGAGCUGGCAAGCAGAGAUACCAAAGGACACCAGUCUAGGGAAGGACAAACAGUGAGGUUCAGGCCUGGCAGUGAAGAAACCUCAACUGAGCCACAAUUUGCUGUGUGAUCUUAGAUGGGGAGCCUGAGGCCCAGAGAGGGCAAAGACAUGCUCAAAGUUGCACAGCAAGACAGCCAUGGAAGCAAGUUGGAACCCAGGGUUCUUGACUCUUCCCGGUAAGUGUCUUAUCCAGCUCAGUUCCACCCCUCACUGUGGACAAGAACCUCUACACUCCGCCGCACACACACACGCACACACAAACACAGGCUGUGCGCUAUGGCCUAGGGAAGCAGGCCCUUGGGAGUGAAGUGGGAGGCACCCAGAGGCUGAUGAGAGGCAGAGGCCAGGAUAAGGACGGAAACUGUGCCGCUGGGGUGAGCGUGGCAUUCGGAGGCGUGGAUGUGCGCUGGUUUUUUUGUGCCUUAGAGCCUCCAGCCCAUGCCUUGUGAGCCACCCUUGCAAGGGUGGGAGAGGCCAACGAGAAACGCCCAGGCUCACUAUUGAGGUCUUUACUGAUGCUUGAAGGGUUUGGAGGCCUCCAGCAAAGUCACUGACCCACCCCCUGGAUUUUCGUCGCACUCGUACCCUUCAGGUGUCCAAAGGUCCACCCCGUGCACCCUUUCCCCCAGUUUUCUAGACCGCCGCUGCGGCCGGGUGAGCCAAGGGCCAUGGCC
rnacentral:lncRNA from 1 species